rnacentral:snRNA from 1 species
AGGUUAUUAGCUCUUUUAGUAUUUCUACAGUAGGUUUCCUCAAAGAGAAAGCCCCC